rnacentral:rRNA from 1 species
UACGGGGGGGGUAAGCGUUGUUCGGAAUUACUGGGCGUAAAGGGCUCGUAGGCGGCCAACUAAGUCAGACGUGAAAUCCCUCAGCUUAACUGGGGAACUGCGUCUGAUACUGGAUGGCUUGGAUUUGGGAGAGGAGUGCGGAAUUCCAGGUGUAGCGGUGAAAUGCGUAGAUAUCUGGAGGAACACCGGUGGCGAAGGCGGCAUUCUGGACCAAUAUUGACGCUGAGGAGCGAAAGCCAGGGAGCAAAGCGGG